rnacentral:rRNA from 1 species
ACGGGAGGCAGCAGUGAGGAAUAUUGGUCAAUGGACGUAAGUCUGAACUAGCCAAGUAGCGUGUGGGAUGACGGCCAUAUGGUUGUAAACCUCUUUUGCGAGGGAAUAAAGUGCGUCACGUGUGGUGCAUUGCAUGUACCUUGCGAAUAAGGAUCGGCUAACUCCGUGCCAGCAGCCGCGGUAAUACGGAGGAUCCGAGCGUUAUCCGGAUUUAUUGGGUUUAAAGGGAGCGUAGGCGGGAAGUCAAGUCAGCUGUGAAAUGUAGUCGCUCAACGUCUGCACUGCAGUUGAAACUGGUUUUCUUGAGUGCGUAAGAGGCAGGUGGAAUUUGUCGUGUAGCGGUGAGAUGCUUAGAUAUGACGAAGAACUCCGAUUGCGAAGGCAGCCUGCUGGGCCGCAACUGACGCUGAAGCUCGAAGGUGCGGGUAUCAAACAGGAUUAGAUACCCUGGUA